GUGGAUUAGAUACCCUGGUAGUCCACGCCCUAAACGAUGCGAACUGGAUGUUGGGUGCAACUUGGCACUCAGUAUCGAAGCUAACGCGUUAAGUUCGCCGCCUGGGAAGUACGGUCGCAAGACUGAAACUCAAAGGAAUUGACGGGGGCCCGCACAAGCGGUGGAGUAUGUGGUUUAAUUCGAUGCAACGCGAAGAACCUUACCUGGCCUUGACAUGUCUGGAAUCCUGCAGAGAUGCGGGAGUGCCUUCGGGAACCAGAACACAGGUGCUGCACGGCUGUCGCCAACU
rnacentral:rRNA from 1 species